rnacentral:rRNA from 1 species
GCUUACGGCCAUACCACCCUGAGAACGCCCGAUCUCAUCUGAUCUCGGAAGCUAAGUAGGGUCGGGCCUGGUUAGUACUUGGAUGGGAGACCGCCUGGGAAUACCAGGUCCUGUAUGCU